GUGCGUAGGCGGCUUCUUAAGUCGGAUGUGAAAUCCCUGAGCUUAACUUAGGAAUUGCAUUCGAUACUGGGAAGCUAGAGUAUGGGAGAGGAUGGUAGAAUUCCAGGUGUAGCGGUGAAAUGCGUAGAGAUCUGGAGGAAUACCGAUGGCGAAGGCAGCCAUCUGGCCUAAUACUGACGCUGAGGUACGAAAGCAUGGGGAGCAAACAGGAUUAGAUACCCUGGUAGUCCACACCGUAAACGAUGAGAGCUAGUUGUCUGCAGGCAUGCCUGUAGGUGACGCAGCUAACGCAUUAAGCUCUCCGCCUGGGGAGUACGGCCGCAAGGUUAAAACUCAAAUGAAUUGACGGGGGCCCGCACAAGC
rnacentral:rRNA from 1 species